rnacentral:lncRNA from 1 species
GAGUAGACCUGGAUUGUCUGGCCCCUGAUAGCCUGCUGGAGCUGCCCACCACAGAGGGUCAAGGGGGGGCAGAGCACGUGAUCCUUCUGAAGGGCUUGGGAGUCCAGGAUUUUGUUUAUUUAUUUGAGAGAGAGCAAGAGAACAAGCAGUAGGGGAGGCGCAGAGAAACCGAGAG